AUUUCAAACUUAAAACUUGUUUUUCGAAAGAAAUGUAUCUAUCUUUAAACAAUUUUCAAUUGAGAAGUGCCAUAUGUAAAAUUAGAAUCAGUGCACAUGAUCUCAAAAUAGAAAGAGACAGGUAUAACACAUUAUAUAUAGAAAGAAAUCAAAGGCUUUGUAAGAAAUGUACUCUAAAUCUGGUUGAAGAUGAACAACAUUUUAUAACUAGUUGUCCAGCAUACAAAAAUGAUAGGGAGAUAUUUUUCAAGGAGAUAAACUGUAUUUGUCCUAAUUUUAUACAUCUUUCAAAUGAGGCAAAAUUUGUUUGGUUAUUUACUAAUGAAAAUUUGUCUGUACUUAAAUAUUUAGGGAGCUAUAUUAUUACAUGUCUAGAUGUUAGACGAAAUGUUAAUUAAUGUAUGUAAUAACAAUGAUAAUUGUAAUGAUUUUAUGGUUCUGAUCCUGC
rnacentral:lncRNA from 1 species